ACUGGAGACAUAUAACUCCAUUUUUCCUUUUUUCCAGAAUGACAUCAUGGAUAAAACAAAAAAGAACAAAUGAAAAAUAAAGUUAAGACAGUACUCUCACAUGGUGAGAAAUUUCAAGAACAACAACCAUUUCUCAAGGCCUGACUCACAAUGGAAAGCAUUUCUCCUGGACUAUUUUAGAGAAUCCUCUCAACAAUCUUUUAAGGAAGGUACUGUUUUAUUCCCACUUGUAUGAA
rnacentral:lncRNA from 1 species